AGUGAACGCUGGCGGUAGGCCUAACACAUGCAAGUCGAACGGCAGCACAGUAAGAGCUUGCUCUUACGGGUGGCGAGUGGCGGACGGGUGAGGAAUACAUCGGAAUCUACUUUUUCGUGGGGGAUAACGUAGGGAAACUUACGCUAAUACCGCAUACGACCUACGGGUGAAAGCAGGGGAUCUUCGGACCUUGCGCGAUUGAAUGAGCCGAUGUCGGAUUAGCUAGUUGGCGGGGUAAAGGCCCACCAAGGCGACGAUCCGUAGCUGGUCUGAGAGGAUGAUCGGCCACACUGGAACUGGGACACGGUCCAGACUCCUACGGGAGGCAGCAGUGGGGAAUAUUGGACAAUGGGCGCAAGCCUGAUCCAGCCAUACCGCGUGGGUGAAGAAGGCCUUCGGGUUGUAAAGCCCUUUUGUUGGGAAAGAAAAGCAGCAGGUUAAUACCCAGCUGUUCUGACGGUACCCAAAGAAUAAGCACCGGCUAACUUCGUG
rnacentral:rRNA from 1 species